UACGUAGGGUCCGAGCGUUGUCCGGAAUUAUUGGGCGUAAAGGGCUCGUAGGCGGUUCGUCACGUCGGGAGUGAAAACUCGGGGCUUAACCCCGAGCCUGCUUCCGAUACGGGCAGACUAGAGGUAGGCAGGGGAGAGCGGAACUCCUGGUGUAGCGGUGGAAUGCGCAGAUAUCAGGAAGAACACCGGUGGCGAAGGCGGCUCUCUGGGCCUUACCUGACGCUGGGAGCGAAAGCGUGGGUAGCGAACAGG
rnacentral:rRNA from 1 species